rnacentral:rRNA from 1 species
AUGCAGGCGCAGAUCGAGCGGGUGCUGCCGCUCUCCAGGGCCCUCGCCGCCGCGCACCGGCAAGUGCAGGUACUUGCCUGCCCGCCCGUUUCUUCCUCUCAACGCGAGACUGGAAUGCUUUGGCUAUUGUGGCUGCCUGCGUUUGGUCCAAUAGCAUCUGUCAAUAGCAAGGCAGGGGUCUGGAAGUGCAUGCCGCAGUAUAUACGGUGGAUUUGUGAAAUGGUGUAUGGAAAAAAUGAUGAUGGAAGUGACAGUAUGGCAGUACAGCUUGUUGACGAAUUGCAUUGGGAUGAUCUUGUUAUAAUCAUAGCAGUGGUCAGUUCAAAGCAGAAGGAAACCAGUAGCACCAGUGGGAUGCGGGACACUGUUGAAACAAGCCCCCUCUUGCAGUACAGGGCCCAGACUGUAGUGCCAAGUCACAUAUUGAAAAUGGAAGAGGCCAUCAAGAAUUGUGAAUUUGAAUCCUUUGCCAGGUUAACUUGUGCAGAUAGCAACCAGUUUCAUGUUGUAUGUUUGGACACGAGUCCUCCCAUGUUCUACAUGAAUGAUACGUCACACAGGAUAAUUAGCCUUGUGGAGAAGUGGAACCACUCGGAAGGAACCCCACAGGGAACAUAUAGUUCAGUUUGA